UACGUAGGGUGCAAGCGUUACUCGGAAUUACUGGGCGUAAAGCGUGCGCAGGCGGUUUUUUAAGUCAGAUGUGAAAUCCCCGGGCUUAACCUGGGAACUGCGUUUGAAACUACAAGGCUAGAGUGUGGCAGAGGGGGGUGGAAUUCCACGUGUAGCAGUGAAAUGCGAAGAGAUGUGGAGGAACACCGAUGGCGAAGGCAGCCCCCUGGGUUAACACUGACGCUCAGGCACAAAAGCGUGGGGAGCAAACAGG
rnacentral:rRNA from 1 species